AUGGGACUAGACAGAGUUUUGAGUUACUUUACUCUAGUAAUCUUCAUUCAAUAUUCCUGCAGUCAGACACUGAUCGAGUCUGAUCCAGUGAUCAUCAAACCUGAUCAGUCUCAUAAACUGACCUGCACAGCCUCUGGAUUAGACAUUAGUGGCUAUUACAUGGCUUGGAUCAGACAGGCACCUGGAAAAGGGCUGGAAUGGGUUGCAAGCAUCUACAGUAGUUACAUAUAUUACUCCAGUGCUGUUCAGGGCCGCUUCACCAUCUCCAGAGACGACAGUAAGAAGCAGGUGUAUCUGCAGAUGAACAGCAUGAGGACAGAAGACACUGCAGUUUAUUACUGUGCCCGAGGGAGUUACAGCACACAGUGA